CCAUCCUUGCACUCUUCCUGCCUUGAGAUGAGCCAUGACUGUAUUCUCACGUGCAGAUAGAGACUCCAGUCUGAAAAGCUCCACCUGUUUUGCAGCUAUGAGCUUCCAUUGCUGACCUCCUUGUCCUGUCAUUACGUGUCACGCCCCCCUGCCCAGACAACCAAGCAAGUGCACUGCCCAGGCCAGUCUGCGCUGGCUUUGUGCUAACACGAGGACCAACGGACUUCCAGCUUCCCUGUUGCUGGAGCAGGUGGGCCCAGGAGCCAGGUGGACAUGAAGAAGGAGCAGGUCACUGGACAUGAUGUGCUCGGCUCUCCCUCCUGCCUACCAUGUCUGAGCCUGGGUGACUUCC
rnacentral:lncRNA from 12 species